rnacentral:rRNA from 1 species
UACGUAGGGUGCAAGCGUUAAGCGGAAUUACUGGGCGUAAAGCGUGCGCAGGCGGCUUUGCAAGACAGAUGUGAAAUCCCCGGGCUCAACCUGGGAACUGCAUUUGUGACUGCAUGGCUAGAGUACGGUAGAGGGGGAUGGAAUUCCGCGUGUAGCAGUGAAAUGCGUAGAUAUGCGGAGGAACACCGAUGGCGAAGGCAAUCCCCUGGACCUGUACUGACGCUCAUGCACGAAAGUGUGGGGAGCAAACAGG